ACGUACCUGAUCGGGAUACCGCAAGGAUGUGAUUCAAUUAGAUGUCGCGAUGUACACGUUUUAGUUAUGAUUUGUUCCUCUUUGGAUCGCCGCUUCGGUUACGUAUCAGUGCUAGCAUCGGUGAGGUCGCCGAAAUAUCAUUGCUUUCCUUUGUAAAAAUGUUGAUGUUGCUGCUCCAAAUGAGUCUGAGUUGUCGUCUACGACACUAGUUGUUUUUUGGAUCAGUGAUGACAUAUCCAUUGUUACGGUACAAAUCAAUUUAAAUUUGUGGCAUGACGUUAAAUCUUUCAUUUUCAUAACAGUACUGGACAUAUUUGGGAUAGGUUGUGUUUGGGGUAAUUUUUCGGUUCCAUCUUAGAUAUGUAUUCAUUUUGCUUUGAACUCUGCAUUGCUUAUGUUAGUUAUCCUUCUGUAGCAGGAUGUACCAGUAAUUUUCUUUUCUUUUCUUGAAGUGGCUUUACUUGGUUUUUUUUCCGGUUGCAAUUACUACUCAUUUUCAAUUCAAAUUAUUCAGUGAUUGGUAUUAUGUUUGUAUGUUGGAAUUCUAGUAAUCCUGUAAAUAAUCAUAACUUGUUCUAUUUUUCCUUUGCACUAUAUAAUAUCUAUUUCGGUUUCAAUUUGACUACUUUGCGUAUCGGCUACAUUAUGCGUUUCAAUCACGAAUGCUUGUAUGUCGAAGUUUUGUUUUGAGUUAUAUGUUGGAUUUUUAAUGACAUGGUAAUGAUCCUGUAAUUAUGAUAAUUACACGUUCUAUUUUACACUGUAUUGUGAGCUUUGAUUACAUAUGUGUUUCGAUUGCGUAUCCAUUUCGGUUAUAGUUUUGUAAAUUACUGAUAAUUCUCUUUGGUUGAUUCUGUUAACUCUAUUUUUUACAAGAUGAUUAAGUGAUUGUUGUUCCCACUUGUUUAACUGAUAUGCUGAACUAAGUGUAUAACUUACAGGAUAUUUUUAUGCUUGUAAUGUUAUCCAUAGUUUUGACAAUGUUGAAAUUUUGUGCUUUAAAAUUUAAGUUCUUUUCAUUAAAAGCCAACACUUUUGUUUUGCUGCACAUUUUAAUGGUAGGGCUGCUAUAAAGUUUCAUUAGCUAUGACUUUUGGGCGGUUAUCGUCGUUUGCGGUAAAGGUUCAUUGUAUGGUGUAAACCGUGACAGUUUAGAUUUUCCUUUAAAAUAGUAGCAUAAUAUGCACAUUGCAAAUAAUUAAUCUUUUAGUAAUAAAUAUCAUGUAAAUAUUACAUUGAGUA